CUAAUACCGGAUAACAUUUUGAACUGCAUGGUUCGAAAUUGAAAGGCGGCUUCGGCUGUCACUUAUGGAUGGACCCGCGUCGCAUUAGCUAGUUGGUGAGGUAACGGCUCACCAAGGCAACGAUGCGUAGCCGACCUGAGAGGGUGAUCGGCCACACUGGGACUGAGACACGGCCCAGACUCCUACGGGAGGCAGCAGUAGGGAAUCUUCCGCAAUGGACGAAAGUCUGACGGAGCAACGCCGCGUGAGUGAUGAAGGCUUUCGGGUCGUAGAACUCUGUUGUUAGGGAAGAACAAGUGCUAGUUGAAUAAGCUGGCACCUUGACGGUACCUAACCAGAUAGCCACGGCUAACUA
rnacentral:rRNA from 1 species